rnacentral:pre_miRNA from 1 species
CAAGUACUCCCUCCAUCCGGAAUUACUUGUCAUCAAAAUGGAUGUGUCUAUAACUAAAAUACAUCUAGAUACAUCCAUUUCAAUGACAAGUAUUUUCGGACGGAGGGAGUACAAG